ACCUGGGCUACUUCUUCCUCAUGUUCGACCGCAGCUGACGCCUACGGGCCCAUGCAGGCUUACCUUAAUAAACAAGUCACGCCUCUUUUCAACCACUUCAAGACUAUCACUGCUGACUGGACCAAGAUUCCGGAGAAACACACUGACCAGUACAACCAGGUGAAUGCCAUCUCGAUAGCCUGCAGUACAGGAGUAGCAGGCUGUGAGGCUGACUACAGGCUGG